rnacentral:tRNA from 1 species
GCCUUCGUAGUGUAGUGGUCAGCACGCUCGACGUAUAUUCCAGAGGUCCGCGGUUCGAGUCCUGGUGAAAGCA